rnacentral:rRNA from 1 species
GAUGAACGCUGGCGGCGUGCCUAAUACAUGCAAGUCGAGCGAACGGACGAGAAGCUUGCUUCUCUGAUGUUAGCGGCGGACGGGUGAGUAACACGUGGAUAACCUACCUAUAAGACUGGGAUAACUUCGGGAAACCGGAGCUAAUACCGGAUAAUAUUUUGAACCGCAUGGUUCAAAAGUGAAAGACGGUCUUGCUGUCACUUAUAGAUGGAUCCGCGCUGCAUUAGCUAGUUGGUAAGGUAACGGCUUACCAAGGCAACGAUGCAUAGCCGACCUGAGAGGGGGAUCGGCCACACUGGAACGGAGACACGGACAAGAGGCCUAAGGGAGGCAGCAGAAGGGAACCUGCCGCAAGGGGCGAAAGCAUGACGGAGCAAGGCGGCGUGAGUGAUGAAGGUCUCGGGAUCGUAAAAAUCUGUUAUGAGGGAAGAACAUAUGUGUAAGUAACUGUGCACAGCUUGACGGUAACUAAUCAGAAAGCCACGGCUAACUACGUG